UGCGGAACCGCUCCUGCCCCGCCGUGUCCCAGAGCUGCAGCCGCACCUGCUGGGGCCAGCCCGGCCCACACGGGGGGGAGAGAGAGCAGGAAAACCCUUUAGGGACAAGGCCACUUCCACACCCAGCUGCAGCAGCAGGAAAACCCUUUAGGGACAAGGCCACUUCCACACCCCACUGCAGCAGCUGAGGUGAGCUUGGCAUCUCGCCCCCAGUCCAACCCCAGCAGAGAUGUUUCCUGGAUUUGUGUAUAAAGUGCUAAAAUUCCCUCCCUGUGCUUGCCCUGCUACUCCCAAACAUCUCUAGGAUUUGGCUCCCACCUCAUUACUGGGGGUAGCCAACAGUACAGCACUGAUGUCCCAGGAUUAUGGAUGGGAUCUCCACAGGACUCAUAGCCUGGAGCAUCUGUGAUCAAAGCUUUUGGGGCAAUUCCCCCAGGACAGACACCAGGCAGGAAAACAACAUCCAGCAUGGAGCAUCCAUGUGAUGGCAGUGGGGAUUUUCAUGUGAUAUGGAAGCAAUGACAACUUAAAUUGCAGCAGAAAUGAAAGCAAGUGUUACACACUGCAGGGUUCAGGUGGUGCAAAGGGCACUGGGUUCUGCCCUCCAGAGCAGCACAGGAGUCACAAAAAUGCUGGAAGAGCUUGACCCCAAGCACAAACUGUUACAAUUAUAUAUUAUAUAUUAUUAUAUAUGACAGCUCCAUGGUCUGGCUGAACCAGCACUGCUCAAAAAUUCCCCAAACACUCCAAAGAAAAAGCUUUCCACACUGGAAGUCCUUUUCCUUUACCCCACAGUCUCUAAAAACAGGAUUGCUCCUCCUUCCCAACAGUUUUCUGGAGGCACCCACUGGUUCCCAGUUUACAGCCACAAAUAAUCCCAGCAGGGAGGCAGAGCACUGGUUAAUGAAGCAGCUCAUCAAGGAAAGAGCAGCUUCUUCAGGACCAAUCACUGCUUGUUUAGAAGAGGAAGAGAAGCUGAUAGAGCACAGGCCUGCAGUCAGAUUCAAAACAACAUCUUAUCUGCAUCAGGGAAUGUCGAGCUGAUGCCCUGGGGCUUAGGGAAGAUUAGGGUUUAUAGUUAAAGCAAUUAGCUCUUGCUUCAUUUUGACGGCAGACUUGAUUACAGAAGCAGAAGUCAGAGCUCUUCUCUAUGCCAGGAAACUCAAGGUGACAAAGUGGGAGCACCUGGGCAGCGUCACAGCAGAGCUGGAAGGAAGAUCAGGCUGAUCCCAACAGCUCCUGGACUUCCCAAGCUUCCACACCCUCCCUGGACAGUGCUGUCACACUGGAAUAUUGCCCAUGAACAUUCACCCAGGGUAAAGUAAUUUGAGGGAAGGUCUCCAGUGAGCAGGUACCACACAGACACCCCUGAAGUGACCCAGGUGUGCUGCAUUUCUACAAGUCCAGAAGUACCUGAGCAUGUCCCUUCUGCCACACAAGAAAACUUUAAACCUCUCAGUCACUAAGAACUGUGAAAAAAUGAAAUUAUCUGCAAAGAUCAGCCUGUUACUGAAGAAUUAUGAGAUCAGCUGUCACUUAAUUUCUUCUGACAUGGCUGGGAGCUGUCAAGAACAGCCUGGACUGGCAAAAUAUUUCCAGCUGCUUGGAUAAACAGCAUCCUGUACCUGCACAGUGGGAAAAAUGAUGGCAAGCUGUGCAUCCUGCCCAGCUGCCUCAGCACCUCACCACCUGCACAUCUCUGUGCUCCCCAAACAGGCCAGUCUGACAUCAUUUGCACCAAACCAGGAAUUCCCCAGCACUUCUCUGGGAGAAAUACCAAGAAAUUAUUUAUUAAUCCUCACUGAAUAGUGAGGAUAAAUCACAGCCUAUUAUUUGUUAAGCACUUCAGCCUAGCAGAGCAAAAUAAAUGCCUGGUCCUCACUCUAAACUUGUUUGUAACAGAAUAAAGCUGGGCCAGAGCUUUU